UUCACUACUAAAAAAAAUAGGUAUUUUCAACCUGGAAAUUUCGACCUCACUUUUGGUCGGAAAAAAAAAAUCGACCUCGUGUGGUCGAAAUAUCUAGAUUUAAUUUUUUUUAAUUUUCGUUAGAAUUUCGAUCACACGGGGUCUAUUUUUUAACAGGAAAAUAAAAUUUCGACCGCAUGUGAUCAAAAUUAUUUUUUGUACAAAUAAUAAAUGGGAAAAAAAUCAUUUUACACAAAAACAAAUUAUAUAAAUAUAAAACAAUUAAUUAAAAAAGUAAAAAAAAAAAAAAUCGACCACAUGUGGUCGAAAAGGUUCAGUAAAAAAGAAGCCCACACCCAGCUUCCCCACCCCCCUCCCCAAACUUUCUCUUCCCUUUCUAAAAAAAACUUUACCCUCUCUAAAUUCAUCUCCUCCAAAAUUCCACCACCGUAUCACCUCCCACCCACUACCAUCGGCGUUCUUCAAGUAGGCAACGCUGGCCAAUUUCGAAAUGAAUUUCUAGAUUAGCAGAUUUAUCGAUAUCAAGUUAGUAAAAAUAACCAAAUUCGUGUUGGCGAUUAUUUAUGAUUAACCACCAAAGCAGCCACCAACUGCCGCCGACUAAACAGUGAGCUAGUGAUCUUUAUGGAACAAGACGAAUGGCUAGACUAUCAUAUUCGCGGGAUCAAAAAUUAUUACAACCUCAGAAGAGUAUGGAAAUUGCAGGAGUGAGAAAGAGCUAGUGGAGGCACUGCAUUCAUUCAUUGUUAUGGAGAGAAAAAGGCCACAUUAUAGCUUGUGCUGCUCUCUUUCCUUACUAUGAAGAAAAUAUGGAGAGGUUGUUGUUAUUGCUGUUUCUCGUGAUUGUCAUAGCCAAGGACAAGGAGACAAAUUACUUGGUGUAGUGACUAUUUUCUCAUACUUGGUAUAGUGACUCUUUUCUCAUACUCCCUCCUUUCACUUUUACUUGUCCAGUAUUUUAAAAAUAAAUUCACUUUUACUUGUCACUUUUAGCACAUCAAGAAAAGACAAUUUCUUUUUCCUGUUUUACCCAUUGUAUUAAUUACUCCUUUCAAAUCAUUUUCAAGUCCAUUAAAAUUAUAUGCACUAAUUAAUAUGGGUAUCAUGAUAAAUUCUACAUUUCAUUCAUUAUUUCUUAAGGGGUGUGCAAAAGCCAAAGUGGACAAGUAAAAGUGAACGGAGGGAGUAAAACUAUUUUUUCUUCGCGAUAUAUAAUGCAUAUAAGCAGUUUCAGGAUGUUGUGAUCGUUUGCAUUUUUCCUAUGAAGUUGCAAAACACAGGAGAUUACUCUUCCUAAGCCAUGUUAAACGUGAAACUCUAAUCUUCCAAGAUAUCAUAAUUUCUACUCAUUAACUGGAUUGAGCGUUUCUCAGUCUUUUACAAUGCUGAGAAGGAAAAGGUUGAAGAUGACGUCGACUCUAUUUAGCUAGGGGAAUAGAUGUGCCAUUUGUAGCUAUUUUUGUAGGUUUUAUCUACUUAGAAUAUGAACAUAUAAUUUAAUUAAUUGUGGUCUAAUUUACAUGCAUAGCUUUCGAUUGUGGGAGCUUACCUGAAAUUAAAACCUAAGGUUGACUAGCAAAAUUAAGCUCAUUUUCUUUUGAAUUUUUACCCUCAUCAUUUUUUCGAGAGAGUAUUAACUCACUUUUAAUGCCAUUUGGAUCUAGCAAGGCCAGUAGUUUGUAUCUCUAAUGAUUUUGACCAUCCAACGAGCAACUGAUACAAUUACCAAUCUUGCUCAUGUAUAUAGAAUUACAGAAAUAAUGACAGGUUAGUUUUUUUUUUUCUUCUCUGAAAAUUUUGUUAAUUGUAGCUUUUACUGAAAGAAGACUUCAUGUUUUCUUGCGCCAACAAUAUUUUGUGAAUAUAGGAGUGAGGGUGGUAUCCUCCCCUUAUUGAUUUGCUUGAGUUUUUUGAUGGUGCAUAUAGUAGCUGUAGGAGCCUUGUGAACUUUGGCAUUUAAGAAUGAUGAGAACAAAAUCUAGUUAAUCUGUAUGAUUAUUGUUUUGCACAUUUUACCUUGUCUGAACUAAUUACAUAUGGCCUUCCCACACUUGCACUCAAUAUUUUUUAUCUCAAAUAUCUGUAUGGUUACUGUUUUACAUAUUUUACCUUGUCUUAACUUAUCACAGAUGCUCUUCCCGCACUUGUAAUAAUGCUAAGGUCUGAUGGUAUAGAUAUAUGCUAUGAAACGGUUAGACACUAUUUAACAAGUAGGUCUAAGUUGCAUCUAUUCCCUCCCAUCUUCUGUGUUAGUGAAUUAAAAGUUCUUGAUUACUUUGAUGGAUACUUUUGCCUCUGCAAGUUGAAACACUACAUUUUUAUAUAGCUAUAAAAUUAUUAAGUAUACAUAGGAUAGUAAGAUGGACAUUCAUUUGCAAUGCAAUGGACAAUUUCCAUACUACUAGGAAGGUUGCAUAUCUUUUAUAUCUGAACUGAUUAUGAUUUACUUUCAUAUGUCAUCCUCAAUUCGAAGUGCAGGAUAGGUGAGGCUUCUGGUGUCAUUGUAUUAAAGGGAACUGGAGUAUGCAACAAAGCGAGGAACUAAGAUAUAUGCAGAGCUACGUGGCUAUGAUUAAGACUUUUUGAACAAUUGUGAUGUUUGAAUUUUACAUUUGGUAUAGGCUACAUAACAUUUCCACACUUUAAAAGUGUGGCCAUAGGGAUGUCAAUUGUGUGGCUUAUUGAUUGUAAAUUGUGGCAUGUACAUUAGCAAAGACUACACUUUGCAAAUGUUGCUUUAGAUGAGGUAGCAACAACCACACUUGGAAAAUGUAGUUUUAUGUCAUGAAAAGCGGUUCCAUGCGAGGUGCUACAAGCGUAGCCUUUGUACCUUAUAGGCCAUGCUUUUGAAGUGUGGUUGAUAAAGCCAUGCUUGAAAAGCGUGGCCUUAGGCCAAAGGUUUCACUUGUUUAGGCCACCCACAGAAAAGCAUAGUCUAAAGUCGGAAAGUGUGACUUUUGAUCAAAGACUACACUUUUUUGAUAGUUUAGGCCACACUUUUUCGGGGUGGCUAAAGGCCUAAAAAGUUUUAGUGUGUUUAAGGGUUUGAGUGUAGUUUUGAUUCGAAUUAGAAGUACUUUGAAGGUGAAUUUGAUUGUAGAAUGUAGUUUAUGGUUGUUUAAGUGUAUGAUGUUUAAGUGUUUGAAUGUAGUUGUAAUUUGAAUUAGAAGUACUUUAAAUUGAAAUUUGAGGUUGAAUUUCAUUGUAGAAUGUUGUAGUUUAUGAUUGUAGAAGUACUUUGAUGAAUUGGAUGUGUUGAUGAAUUGCAUUGUUGAUUUGGUUGA